rnacentral:rRNA from 1 species
AUGGAUAAGUGUGGCGAUGUUGAUGACUGUGUCUCCACUCCCGAGGCUUCUGCGGGAGCAGCAAAACUUUCAGAUGAGAAGGUUAAGAAUCUCCCUGUGCCCGGUGAAGUAGAAUUCAUCAAUGGUGGCCCUCCAUGCCAGGGGUUCUCCUGGAUGAACAGAUUCAAGCAGAGCCCAUGGAGCAAGGUUCAGUGCGAGAUGAUUCCGGCAUUCUUGUCCUUCGCAGAGUAUUUCCGGCCUAGGUUCUUCCUUUUGGAAAACGUCAGGAACUUUGUUUCGUUUAACAAGGGCCGGACCUUCAGACUGACACUAGCAUCACUCCUGGAGAUGGGGUACCAGGUUCGAUUCGGCAUUCUAGAGGCAGGUGCUUAUGGCGUCGCGCAGCCCAGGAAAAGGGCGUUCAUCUGGGCCGCCGCGCAUGGGGAGACUCUUCCUGACUGGCCUGAACCAAUGCAUGUCUUCGCUAGCCCUGAGCUGAAAAUAAACCUGUCAGGAGGUAAAUACUAUGCUGCUGCCAGGAGCACAGCUGGAGGAGCUCCUUUCCGCUCUAUAACAGUCAGGGAUACAAUCGGCGAUCUACCACCGGUGGAGAAUGGCGCCAGCAACCCAACAAUAAAGUACGGAGGCGAGCCCAUCUCCUGGUUCCAGAAGAAGAUUCGAGGCGAUACGCUUUCGCUGAGUGACCACAUAUCCAAAAAGAUGAACGAGCUGAAUCUCAUAAGGUGCAAGCACAUCCCAAAACGCCCUGGCUGUGACCAUGACCUGCCAGAUGAGAAGGUGAAGCUAUCCAGAGGGAGGAAAACGGUGGAUUUGAUCCCUAGGUGCUUGCCCAACACAGCCAAGACGAACAAUCAGUGGAAAGGCCUGUGUGGGAGGCUGGACUGGGAGGGCAACUUCCCCACAUCAGUGACAGAUCCCCAGCCAAUGGGCAGGGUCGGCAUGUGCUUCCACCCUGAUCAGGACAGGAUCAUCACUGUUCGUGAAUGUGCGCGAUCCCAGGGCUUCCCUGAUGGCUACCGUUUCGCUGGCAACAUCCGGAGCAAGCACAGGCAGAUCGGGAAUGCGGUACCACCUCCCCUUGCAUACGCGCUAGGGAGGAAGCUCAAGCAAGCCAUCGAUGCCAAGCCGCUUAAGUUAACUGAUGAAGACAUGGUCCAAGUGGGACUUAAUUUAUCGCUGGGCCCUAUAUAA